rnacentral:rRNA from 1 species
UACGAAGGGGGCUAGCGUUGUUCGGAAUUACUGGGCGUAAAGCGUGCGCAGGCGGCUUCUCAAGUCAGGGGGUGAAAGCCCAGAGCUCAACUCUGGAAUUGCCUUUGAGACUGAGUGGCUUGAGUACGAGAGAGGUGAGUGGAAUUCCCAGUGUAGAGGUGAAAUUCGUAGAUAUUGGGAAGAACACCGGUGGCGAAGGCGGCUCACUGGCUCGUAACUGACGCUCAUGCACGACAGCGUGGGGGAUCAAACAGG